rnacentral:rRNA from 1 species
GACGAACGCUGGCGGCGUGCUUAACACAUGCAAGUCGAACGAAGAGCGAUGGAAGCUUGCUUCUAUCAAUCUUAGUGGCGAACGGGUGAGUAACGCGUAAUCAACCUGCCCUUCAGAGGGGGACAACAGUUGGAAACGACUGCUAAUACCGCAUACGAUCUAAUCUCGGCAUCGAGGAUAGAUGAAAGGUGGCCUCUACAUGUAAGCUAUCACUGAAGGAGGGGAUUGCGUCUGAUUAGCUAGUUGGAGGGGUAACGGCCCACCAAGGCGAUGAUCAGUAGCCGGUCUGAGAGGAUGAACGGCCACAUUGGCACUGAGACACGGCCCAGACUCCUACGGGAGGCAGCAGUGGGGAAUCUUCCGCAAUGGACGAAAGUCUGACGGAGCAACGCCGCGUGAGUGAUGACGGCCUUCGGGUUGUAAAGCUCUGUUAAUCGGGACGAAAGGCCUUCUUGCGAAUAGUGAGAAGGAUUGACGGUACCGGAAUAGAAAGCCACGGCUAACUACGUG